UGUCGGUCCCCUCGCGACGUAAGGUUGUGAACCCCGUCAGGCCCGGAAGGGAGCAGCGGUAACGACGACUGCGGGCGCCGAGGUGUGGCUGGCAGGG
rnacentral:SRP_RNA from 1 species